UACGUAGGGGGCUAGCGUUGUCCGGAAUCACUGGGCGUAAAGCGCGUGUAGGCGGUCCGGUAAGUCCGCUGUGAAAGUCGGGGGCUCAACCCUCGGAUGCCGGUGGAUACUGUCGGACUUGAGUACGGGAGAGGCGAGUGGAAUUCCUGGUGUAGCGGUGAAAUGCGCAGAUAUUAGGAGGAACACCAAUUGCGAAGGCAGCUCGCUGGAACGUUACUGACGCUGAGACGCGAAAGCGUGGGGAGCAAACAGG
rnacentral:rRNA from 1 species